UACGGAGGAUGCGAGCGUUAUCCGGAUUUAUUGGGUUUAAAGGGUGCGUAGGCGGACGCUUAAGUCAGCGGUAAAAUUGCGGGGCUCAACCUCGUCGAGCCGUUGAAACUGGGUGUCUUGAGUGGGCGAGAAGUACGCGGAAUGCGUGGUGUAGCGGUGAAAUGCAUAGAUAUCACGCAGAACUCCGAUUGCGAAGGCAGCGUACCGGCGCACAACUGACGCUGAAGCACGAAGGCGUGGGUAUCGAACAGG
rnacentral:rRNA from 1 species